AUUGAACGCUGGCGGCAGGCCUAACACAUGCAAGUCGAGCGGAUGAGGGGAGCUUGCUCCCUGAUUUAGCGGCGGACGGGUGAGUAAUGCCUAGGAAUCUGCCUGGUAGUGGGGGAUAACGUUCCGAAAGGAACGCUAAUACCGCAUACGUCCUACGGGAGAAAGCAGGGGACCUUCGGGCCUUGCGCUAUCAGAUGAGCCUAGGUCGGAUUAGCUAGUUGGUGAGGUAAUGGCUCACCAAGGCGACGAUCCGUAACUGGUCUGAGAGGAUGAUCAGUCACACUGGUACUGAGACACGGUCCAGACUCCUACGGGAGGCAGCAGUGGGGAAUAUUGGACAAUGGGCGAAAGCCUGAUCCAGCCAUGCCGCGUGUGUGAAGAAGGUCUUCGGAUUGUAAAGCACUUUAAGUUGGGAGGAAGGGCUGCUGGUUAAUACCCUGCAGUUUUGACGUUACCAACAGAAUAAGCACCGGCUAACUUCGUG
rnacentral:rRNA from 1 species